AGUAACGGCGAGUGAAGCGGCAACAGCUCAAAUUUGAAAUCUGGCCUCUUUGGGGUCCGAGUUGUAAUUUGUAGAGGAUGUUUCGGGUACCGCCUCGGUUUAAAUUUCUUGGAACAGAAUGUCAAAGAGGGUGGGAAUCCCGUCUUGGACCGGCGGUAGGGCCCAUGUGAAACUCCUUCGACGAGUCGAGUUGUUUGGGA
rnacentral:rRNA from 1 species